UACGUAGGGUGCGAGCGUUGUCCGGAAUUAUUGGGCGUAAAGAGCUUGUAGGCGGUUUGUCGCGUCUGCCGUGAAAAUCCGAGGCUCAACCUCGGACUUGCGGUGGGUACGGGCAGACUAGAGUGUGGUAGGGGAGACUGGAAUUCCUGGUGUAGCGGUGAAAUGCGCAGAUAUCAGGAGGAACACCGAUGGCGAAGGCAGGUCUCUGGGCCACUACUGACGCUGAGAAGCGAAAGCGUGGGGAGCGAACAGG
rnacentral:rRNA from 1 species